CCUCGAUGUCGGCUCAUCUUAUCCUGGAGGUGGAGAAGCUUCCAAGGGUUUGGCUGUUCGCCAAUUAAAAAGAUACGUGAGCUGGGUUCAAACCGUAGGGGGGAAGGAACAACUGACAAUUAACUUUUGACAAUUGACAAAGAAUUUUUCGCAAAGCGAAAAAUUCUUCAGUCACCUGUCAAUGGUCACCUGUCACAUGUUCAUCCCUCCUUAGUUUGAACCCGAGGCGAUGAGACUAAACUCAUCAAUAAUGACAUUAAUAAUCACGGCGGCUAUAUACAGUGAUGUAUAUAGACAAGUUGACUAAUUUCGGGAAAACCUAAACGAGAAAUCGUAUGGCAAUUCCGAGGGAAACAAUGGAGAUCAUUGUGCCCGUAGAGACUAAACGUCAGCACCCCUUUGUAAAAAUAAGGGUUAUGCUAUAGUCCGAUCCCUCUUGAAAAAGAGGUUUACGCGGUUUGGAGACCAGAGCGUAAUGUAAAACACUAAUGCGUGAGACAGGUUGGUCUCCUAUCUUCUGCAGGCGUUGAAUUUUGAGGGGAUUUGCUCCUAGUACGAGAGGACCGGAGUGAACUGACCUCUGGUGUGGCUGCUGUCCUGCCAAGGGCACCGCAGCGUAGCUAUGUCGGGAAUGGAUAACCUCUGAAAGCAUCUAAGAGGGAAGCCAACCCCAAGAUCAGAAUUCGUUUGAGGCCCGUAAGAGAUGAUUACGUUGAUAGGCUCUAUGUGUAAGACGAGUAAUCGUUUCAGCAGAGGAGUACUAAUACGCCGAUUCUUAUUGGGAA
rfam:Candidatus Yonathbacteria bacterium RIFCSPHIGHO2_02_FTLL_44_14 rifcsphigho2_02_scaffold_7684, whole genome shotgun sequence.